GUCUAUGGCCAUGCUACCCUGAACAAGACCGAUCUCAUCUGAGCUAAGCAGGGUCGGACCUGUUAGUACUUGGAUGGGAGACCACUUAGGAAGACCAGGUGCUGUAGGCA
rnacentral:rRNA from 1 species